rnacentral:tRNA from 1 species
GCGGUCGUGGCGGAAUCGGCAGACGCGCACGUUUGAGGGGCGUGUGGGUUAUCCCGUGGAGGUUCAAGUCCUCUCGACCGCACCA